UAAAACAGCGUGCGCUGGACGGACUCGA
rnacentral:sRNA from 1 species